GGCUUAGUGGUGUAGUGGUAACACACCCGCAUUAUGUAACCACAAAAAGACGAUUUCUUAGCAGGAACUCCUUGUUCGACUCAAGGCUAGGCCA